rnacentral:rRNA from 1 species
UCCUACGGGUGGCUGCAGUGGGGAAUUUUGGACAAUGGGCGCAAGCCUGAUCCAGCAAUGCCGCGUGCAGGAUGAAGGCCUUCGGGUUGUAAACUGCUUUUGUACGGAACGAAACGGCUCUCUCUAAUACAGGGGGCUAAUGACGGUACCGUAAGAAUAAGCACCGGCUAACUACGUGCCAGCAGCCGCGGUAAUACGUAGGGUGCGAGCGUUAAUCGGAAUUACUGGGCGUAAAGCGUGCGCAGGCGGUGUUGUAAGACAGAGGUGAAAUCCCCGGGCUCAACCUGGGAAUUGCCUUUGUGACUGCAAGGCUUGAGUGCGGCAGAGGGGGAUGGAAUUCCGCGUGUAGCAGUGAAAUGCGUAGAUAUGCGGAGGAACACCGAUGGCGAAGGCAAUCCCCUGGGCCUGCACUGACGCUCAUGCACGAAAGCGUGGGGAGCAAACAGGAUUAGAUACCCCGGUAGUCG